rnacentral:pre_miRNA from 1 species
AACAAAUCAACUUUUCAGUUUUUAGAUACAAUGUUUAACUCUUCGUCUUAUUAAAAAAAAUUUAUGAUUAAUAAUUUUAUUUUUAUUAGAUGAUAAAACAUGAAUAGUACUUUAUGUGUGACUAAUUUUUUAAAAAUUUCUUGAAAAUUUUUCAAAUAAAACAGAUGGUCAAAUGGUUGACACAAAGACC